rnacentral:rRNA from 1 species
AGAGUUUGAUCAUGGCUCAGGACGAACGCUGGCGGUGUGCUUCACACAUGCAAGUCGAACGAGGUAGCAAUACCUAGUGGCGGACGGGUGAGUAACGCGUGGGAAUCUGCCUAUAGAUGGGGGAUAGCUAGCCGAAAGGCUAAUUAAUACCGCAUACGCGUGUAUCUCGACAGGGAUAUACGUGAAAGUAGUAAUACGUCUAUAGAUGAGCCCGCGUCCGAUUAGCUAGUUGGUAGGGUAAUGGCCUACCAAGGCGACGAUCGGUAGGUGGUCUGAGAGGAUGAUCACCCACAAUGGAACUGAGACACGGUCCAUACUCCUACGGGAGGCAGCAGUGGGGAAUUUUACGCAAUGGGCGAAAGCCUGACGUAGCGACACCGCGUGAGCGAAGAAGCCCUUUGGGGUGUAAAGCUCUGCCAGCUGGAACGAAAAAAAUGACGGUACCAGCAGAGGAAGCAUCGGCUAACUACGUGCCAGCAGCCGCGGUAAGACGUAGGAUGCAAGCGUUGUCCGGAUUUAUUGGGCGUAAAGAGUUCGUAGGCGGUUUGUUAAGUUCGGUGUUAAAGAUCGGGGCCCAACCCUGGGAGUGCAUUGAAUACUGGCAGACUGGAGUGCGGUAGAGGUAAGUGGAAUUCCUGGUGUAGCGGUGAAAUGCGUAGAUAUCAGGAAGAACACCAGUGGCGUAGGCGACUUACUGGGCCGUAACUGACGCUGAGGAACGAAAGCCAGGGGAGCAAAUGGGAUUAGAUACCCCCGUAGUCC